GAUGAACGCUGGCGGCGUGCCUAAUACAUGCAAGUCGAGCGAACGGACGCGAAGCUUGCUUUUCUGAUGUUAGCGGCGGACGGGUGAGUAACACGUGGAUAACCUACCUAUCAGACUGGGAUAACUUCGGGAAACCGGAGCUAAUCCCGGAUAAUAUUUUGAACCGCAUGGUUCAAAAGUGAAAGACGGUCUUGCUGUCACUUAUAGAUGGAUCCGCGCUGCAUUAGCUAGUUGGUAAGGUAACGGCUUACCAAGGCAACGAUGCAUAGCCGACCUGAGAGGGUGAUCGGCCACCCUGGAACUGAGACACGGUCCAGACUCCUACGGGAGGCAGCAGUAGGGAAUCUUCCGCAAUGGGCGAAAGCCUGACGGAGCAACGCCGCGUGAGUGAUGAAGGUCUUCGGAUCGUAAAACUCUGUUAUUAGGGAAGAACAUAUGUGUAAGUAACUGUGCACAUCUUGACGGUACCUAAUCAGAAAGCCACGGCUAACUACGUG
rnacentral:rRNA from 1 species